rnacentral:rRNA from 1 species
CAAGAGCGUAUAUUAAUACUGCUGCAGUUAAAAGGCUCGUAGUCGAAUUUGUGGCCUCCCGGGCCCAGCGGCUGCCGCGAAAGCGGGGUCGUCUGGCGCCUGUGGGGUCAUUCGCCAGGAAAACGCUUCUGCUCUUGAUUGAGUUGGUCGCGGGAUCCUGGCCGUUUACCUUGAGUAAAUCAAAGCGCUCAAAGCAUGCCGUACACGCAUCGAUGUUUUAGCAUGGAAUAAUGAUAUAGGACUUGUGUUCUAUUUCGUUGGCUGAAGAACAAAAGUAAUGAUUGAUAGGAGCGGUUGGGGGUGCUAGUAUUUAGCGGUCAGCGGUGAAAUGCGAAGACCCGUUAAAGACUAACGUAUGCGAAAGCAUUCACCAAGGACGCUUUCUUUGA